ACCUUUUCAUUUUCAGGUUGUCUGGAUUAAUUCUUACAAAAGAUUUGAAAUAAGGAAGCCUGGAAGGCAUGGAUUGAUGGGUUCAUCCUGCCACAAAAUAAAUACAGAAACAAAAAGCUGCAGGUCCAGAUUCUUUGUGCUGGAAAACCACCAUCAGUUGCCUUCAGUGGAGUUAAACCAAAGCUGAAUUGAGGACCAAAUUAUUUGCUGGUGAAACUUUAUUUGUUGACUUCCAUUUGUGUCAACUAGCAAGGAAUUUGGCCUUAAAUGCAGAUUCGGUUUAUGAGCUGGCUAAAGAGAGAGCCUCUCCAUCCCCAAGGAUACCUGAAAGAACUUGGAACAAAG